rfam:Bombyx mori DNA, contig: Bm_scaf90_contig34392, strain: p50T/Dazao, build 2, whole genome shotgun sequence.
UAAACUCGAAUUUGUAUGGAGUUUGAAUAGCUUCCCGUCGUCUGCCGCUAGGGGCGCUGUUCCAACUCCAUACAAAUUGGAGUUA